ensembl:snoRNA small nucleolar RNA, H/ACA box 27
CCCUGCCCCUUCACUUUGCCAGUUGGACUUGUGUCCUGAUUGGUCAUUCAAGUGGGGCAAAGGAAUCUCCUUUUCAAACUCAAGCAGACUGGGUGUUUGCCUUGUAUCCUGUCAGAGGAAACAGAU